AUCCUUUUGUAGUUUGUAAGCAUGAUGAUUGGGUGUUCACAUCAUUGUGUGACAUGUGCCAGUCUUAAACCUUCAUACGACGUCAGCACAUUACCUGUCUGACA